AUGCAUUAAUAUGAAAUUAAUAGUUUAACCUAUUGCCCCCUUUUGUCAUUAAAAUGUUUGGAUUCAGUGUUCUGGUCCUCCAUUCCACUGGAGAAGAGGUGCAAAGAUCAUUCUGUGAGCAUCAGUUUUGUCAAAGGCAGCAUUUCUAAUAUCAAGGACACACAUGUGAGGAUAUUAAGAGGAGCAACUAACAGAGAAAACAAUGCAAAAUGACGUCCUUCCUAUGCUGAACAAUUAUUUAACUUGAUGGAAAUGUCCCACGUUGCAGUUAAAAUACAAACCAUUACAGACAGUGAAGCUGAACAGAAACCUUGGAGGUAAUAUUUCUGUUG
rnacentral:lncRNA from 1 species